CGAUGAUGCCCAGCUUGCUGGGCGGAUUAGUGGCGAACGGGUGAGUAAUACGUGAGUAACCUGCCCUUGACUCUGGGAUAAGCCUGGGAAACUGGGUCUAAUACUGGAUACUACCUCUUGCCGCAUGGUGGGUGGUGGAAAGGGUUUUACUGGUUUUGGAUGGGCUCACGGCCUAUCAGCUUGUUGGUGGGGUAAUGGCUCACCAAGGCGACGACGGGUAGCCGGCCUGAGAGGGUGACCGGCCACACUGGGACUGAGACACGGCCCAGACUCCUACGGGAGGCAGCAGUGGGGAAUAUUGCACAAUGGGCGGAAGCCUGAUGCAGCGACGCCGCGUGAGGGAUGACGGCCUUCGGGUUGUAAACCUCUUUCAGUAGGGAAGAAGCGAGAGUGACGGUACCUGCAGAAGAAGCGCCGGCUAACUACGUGC
rnacentral:rRNA from 1 species